rnacentral:lncRNA from 1 species
AUCAUGAACUCGAGGCGGUGCCGGGGCAGGCGCAGAGCUGGCAAGCACGUGGUGGGGCCCCUGAGGUGUGCAGAGGGUCGCGCACCUAGAAGCCUGUCGCUGGCGCGGUCUGGGCGGGAGGUUCUGCGGCGGGAGGCAGCCUGUUGGUUGCAGGGCUGAAAAAGCAGUUCUACAAGGCAAGCCAGCUGGUCAGUGAGAAGGUCGGAGGGUCUGAGGGGACCAAGCUGGACAAUGACUUCAAAGAGAUGGAGAUGUCAUCAGCAAGGCGGUGAUGGAAAUGCUGGCAAGGACCAUCAAGUACCUGGAGCCCAACCCAGCCUCACAGGCUAAGCUGACCAUGCUCAACACAGUGUGAAAGAUCCAGGGCCAGGUGAAGAACCCCGGCUACCCGCAGUCGGAGGGGCUCCUGAGCGAGUGCCUGAUCCGCCACCAGAAGGAGCUGGGCAACGAGUCCAACUUCAGUGAUGCACUGCUGGAUGCCGGCGAGUCCAUGAAGCACCUGGCAGAGGUG